CAGGGAGAAGCAACGAUCCACUACAACAAACUGCAGGCAGACCCAAAACAGGGGAAGUCUCUGGAUAUAGUGCUGAAAAAGGUCAAACAUCGGCUGGUAGAGAACAUGAGCUCAGGCACAGCAGACGCUCUGGGACUCAGCAGAGCUAUUCUCUGCAACGAUGGACUCGUUAAAAGACUGGAAGAGCUGGAGAAAACAGCGGAGCUCUACAAAGG